GACGAACGCUGGCGGCGUGCUUAACACAUGCAAGUCGAACGGAAAGGCCCUGCUUUUGUGGGGUGCUCGAGUGGCGAACGGGUGAGUAACACGUGAGUAACCUGCCCUUGACUUUGGGAUAACUUCAGGAAACUGUGGCUAAUACCGGAUAGGAGCUCCUGCUGCAUGGUGGGGGUUGGAAAGUUUCGGCGGUUGGGGAUGGACUCGCGGCCUAUCAGCUUGUUUGUGGGGUUGUGGCUUACCAAGGCUUUGACGGGUAGCCGGCCUGAGAGGGUGACCGGCCACAUUGGGACGGAGAUACGGCACAGACUCCUACGGGAGGCAGCGGUGGGGAAUAUUGCACAAUGGGCGGAAGCCUGAUGCAGCAACGCCGCGUGGGGGAUGGCGGCCUUCGGGUUGUAAACCGCUUUCGCGUGUGACGAAGCGUGAGUGACGGUAAUGGGUAAAGAAGCACCGGCUAACUACGUG
rnacentral:rRNA from 1 species